AGCUUUGCGCAGUGGCAGUAUUGUAGCCAAUGAGGUUUAUCUGAGGCGCGAUUAUUGCUAAUUGAAAACUUUUUAAAAUUACUCUGGAUUUAGAUGUACUUGUGCCCUAUUAAAAAGAAU
rnacentral:snRNA from 1 species